CCAAGAACAGCAUGCUCAAGUUCAUGCUUGUAGUUUGUGCUCUAGCUCAGCAAGCUGUUAGCAACAGCGACCAGACAGGAGAUGCAUCAAUGCAAAGUUGCAUUGGACAGAAAGGUGAAAAGGGUGACUACGGUCUUCCUGGAAUACGUGGGUUAAGAGGUUACAAAGGCGGAUUGGGAGCAGCCGGUCCCAAAGGAGACAGCGGAGCAUCUGGUCCUGCUGGACCUCCUGGUGCUCAGG